UAUGUAUUUGUCCUUUGCAAAAAUAAAUAAAAUAAUAUAAUUGUAUUGAUAAAAUAUAGUGUUAGAAGAAUCUUAAACUAAUUAAACUGAUAAAUAUUAAUAUUAUUAUAUUUGAAUUUAAAAUUUCAUAACUAUAAUUAUAUAAAUUAAUUACAAUAAAAAUUUAUCGUUUUUUCUAAAAUCAAAAAAUAUAACGUUAAAAAACUAUAUGAAAUAAUUUUAAUAAAAGUAACGUAGCCGGUAGAAAAAAGUUAUUAAUUUUAAUAAAAGUAAUGUAGCCGGUAGAAAAAAGUUUUAUGAAAUAACUUUAAUAGAAGUUACUCCUAAAGUGGGCGUGCAUAUCGGUCAUGUGGUAAUAUGAGGAUUUUUUUUCUUAAUAUCCUCUUUUUUAUUUUAAUGAAAAAAAAUACUAAAAUGUCUUUUUUUAGUAAAGUCUCAUCUUAAUAUAUAUGGGGUGGCCUUUGGUUGUAUUAGGUAAUGCAACCUUCUACACAUAUAUUUUAUUUUUAUUUUUUAUAUUAGUUGAUAAAAUAAAUAAUUAAAAAUAUUUAUUAAUAAUAACAUAAAAUUAAUAAAAAAUUAUUCAUUAAUAAUAACAUAAAAUUAAUUAAAAAACUAGAAAGAAACAAAAAUUACAGAAAUUGAAUAGAGGUAUUGAUAACAAUCAAAUAAUAUUUUAAAUUAAUUAUAAUUGAAUAAUCAAUAUAAUUGUUUAUUUUAAUAUUUUCUUAAAAAGAUAUAUAAAGAAAAAAUCUUCAAUAUAAUACUAUUAAUUAUUUUUAUUUUGGUUGUAAUAUCUAAUUAAAUAUAUAUCCCUCUAAAAUAAUACAUUUUAUUUUGUAUUUAUGAUAAUGUGAAUAGACAGAUAACUAAUAUAGUUAGUUAUUCUCUUUUUUUUUACUAAGUUAAUAAAAAAAAAAUUGUAUAUAAUUUUUAAUUUACUUGUCGGAAAUAAUCUAGUACUGUAUGACAUUCAUAAUGAAAUAAAAGAGGUUAAACAAGUUUUCAAAGAAUAGACAAAUUAUAGUCAAUUGCAAGGAUGCAAAAGUAUCAUAUGUGUUUUAUGGUGAAAUGGAUGUUUACAAAUAGUUGAAAACUAUGAUGACUAUCGACAUCGUCACUUUUAAAAGACAAAAAAAUUCUUAAUUAUCAUAAGAAAGUAACGUGAUAGAAGUUGGUUCAAUAAAAAUAAAAUAAAAACAAACGUAGGUUAAAUUUAAAGACACUAAUAUUUAUUUUCUUUUUUCUUGAACCACCUCCAAUUGAGUCAUUGAAUGAGUGAUAAGGAUGAGUAAUAUCAUAAGAUUUUACUUAGGGGAACGAUACCAUUUCUUAUUGAAGUUUGAAACGAUUUUCAAACAUCAGAUUACUUUCCACCCUUAAAUUCAUUUUAUUUACCUUGAAAUGUUAAAGUGUUGUGUUAGAGGUUGAUCCAUCACACUAAACAGUGACACGUGAAACAUAAAGUUACAAUUGUGGGGCAUAUGAUAUGAUGCUUUCUCAUAGCCGUUCAUUAUUUCUUUAGCCGAACCUUAAAAAUUGUUGUGGCUUACACUUCUUGAAGAUAACUAGGCAUUGAUUAAUUCAAUUUUUGACAUGUUACAUAAAAUUGUCAAUUGCACACAUAUAUAUUCAAUAGUUCAAAUAAACAAAAUGCAUAUACAAAUAUGGAAUAGUUGAUAGCAAAAAUGAUACACUAGUGAAGUUUGGUAAGAUAUGAUAUAUGUAAUUCUUAGUUACAGUUGAUGACAAUGUAGCAAUGAUUAAUUUGGCUAUGUGAAUUGUGCAUGGGAAAGGGGAGAAAAAUAAAGUAAUUAAAUGACAGAAAGGUGUGGUAGCAAUAUUCAACUAAGAAUGAGAUUCACAUAUAUAUAUAUGUGUAUAUAUUUAAAGUAAAGGGAAAGGAAUCUAAGAUAAGAGAGCCCACUGAUGAACCUUUUGUGGUUGAAUAUAUACACAUCAACUUUAUUUGUUUCUGAGUAAGAAAAAUAAGCUGGUUGAUUGAUAAUAAAAAGCCACUUUACAGUGGGCCUGUUGGGGAUAUAACUUGGAAAAUAUCCUAAUACUAUCACCAAUUAAUGAAUGAAGAAUCCCAAUAAAGAAUUAUGAAAACUGAGGGAUCGAGAAGUUUUGAAGGGACCCUUAACAAAAAGAGCAGCAUUAUAGAGAUCCACUUUGAAAACAAGUUGAUUCAAUUCAAAUAAUUGAUUAAUCCAUAGAUAAUACUAAGUACUAACUAUAGUCUGUAUUACAACCAACACAAGUGACAUGUGUUUCAAUCUCUUAUAACAGUUGCACACAGUUGUACAAACUAUUAGAUACAAAGAAAUAAAAUAAUCAUGAGGUCGAAGUAUAAUAAUACCACAUCAUCAUCAUAUUGGGUAAUAUGUCACACUAAGGCCAACUCAAGUUUUUAUUGACUUCAACUAAGGUGUGAACUGCGUACUUACACAUUUGACCGAUACGAUUAAUUUUUUUAUCUUCAAAUCAAAAUUGAAAUAAAUUGUUUUAUAUUGUUUAAUGUGUAAUAAUUGUUGUGUUAGUUUAUAAUUGGACCAGCGGUUAAUUUGAUAAAAUUAUAAUCAAAAUAAUAUCAUGAUUUUGUUAAAACUUUAAGAUACAAUUUUUAUCCAAAUAACUUAUUCUAUUAGAGAAUUCAAAUAUCUAUUUUGAGUUAGAAAAAAUUGAGUGAAGGAAUCAUUAAUGGAUAAUAUUGGAAAACAUAAAAAGCGUGGACGGCAGGAUUCGAACCUGCGCGGGCAAAGCCCACAUGAUUUCUAGUCAUGCCCGAUAACCACUCCGGCACGUCCACCAUGAUGUCUAUAAUUGGUCCAUAUAUUUUAACUUAUUUGUAAUAUUAAUAAUUACACUUUUUAGUUUUUAACUUAUCUCAUGUAAAGGUAUAGCAAUAUUAUCCACAGAUAAUAAUCUUAAAUACCAGUAAAAAAAAAUACAAUAAUUUUUUUUACAGAGUUGUUAAGAAACCAAAAUUACAUAUAAGUUAUAAUAGAAAAUUUUAUCUUUACCGACCAGUAAUGCUGCAUUUGAAUUCUUAGUGUAAAUUCUUUUACAACGUUUUCUAUAAUUCUCUCUUUUUUACUUUAUUAUAUUCUCUGUCUUAACAACUAUAUAACUUUGCUGAUUCAAUUUAAGCCACCAUAUUUGCAUUAAAUCAAAUACAAAUGGCAACAGUAAAAUGGUCGCUUGGUAUUGCAAUGUGCGAAGGUGUUUUGAAGGAUAGAAGUCCAGUUGUGUUAAAUACUAGUAAAAAAAUUAUCUUCAUGCAUAACUAAUGUUAUGCUGGAAAUUUAACUAUUUUUGUUUUAAAAAGUUUAACGGUAAAAUUUACAAAUUUAAUAAAAAGAAAUAAAUGUAUUUUAUAUUUAAAUUUAAAUUCAAAUUAUAGCAUAUUAAAUAAAAUGCUACAAAAUGAGUUUAACUUUUAUAUAUUGAGAGUGUAAAAAACUUUACACGGUUGACAUAUAAUUACUAAUUAUAUGUAUAACUUUAAUAAUAGUUAUCGUAAAAGUAAGACAUUAUUAAUAAUUUAACGGUUGUGAAUAAAUGAUAGUGUAUAAUUUUUUUUAGACUAACAAUAUAUCUAAAUCAAAUUCAUAAAAAAAAAAUAGUAAAUUAAUUCAAUAUAUAACCGUAAUUAUUAUAACUAUCAAAUGUUCUAAUUAUAAAAUAAAAUAUCGCUAAUAGCAUUAAUUGAAUUAUUUAUCAUACUUCGUUGAGUUUUGAAUUAAUUAUAUUAUUAUAAAAAUAUAUUUUUGACUUAGUAUUAUAAAAUAUACAUGAUACAAGUAAUAUACUUAUUUUUCCUAUUUUAAGUUAAAUAAGUGGUAUUCAUACAAAUUAUAUUUUUAUUUCGUAUUCAUUUUUGUUAUUUCGUUGUUUCAAAUCGACUUUGUUUGAUUUUUUGUUUUGGUUUGAUGUUUGUUUAUUUUUCCAUCUUAUUGUAGCGUUCGUUUGAUUAAGAUCGACAUAUCAACUUCAAUCAAUUACUAAUUCAAUCAAUAACUACGUCAUCAACCUUCAGAUCCAGAGAUAUGAGUAAUUCAAUCACUUUGACUUUGUCACGUUAAUUGUAAGCCUUGUAUCAUUUUAUCCUAUUAACUUAAAUAUUGUGAAUUCGUCUUUUUGUUUUUAGCGAUAUUGAAUUUGUGUUUGUAUAAGUACUUUAUUGAUUUGAAUGAAUGUAUAUUAUUUAUUUUUUUUGUCAAAAUAAAUUAUUAUAAAUGGAUGAAGAUCCAUUAACUUCAUUGGUAACUUUGUGAUGGACUACUUUAUUUAAUAACUUAAUAUAAAUAAUAAAUUUUAUUUAUCAAAUUAUCAAAUCAAAAAUUUUUACUGAGUAAAUAAAUUUCAUAAUUUUUUAUAAAAUUUAAAAAUUAUUUAAUACUUCAUUAAAUAAUUUUAAAUUAAUAUAUAAUAAAUAUUUUAAAAAAAUAUAAGUAAAUAUCAAUAAUUAGAUUACGUGACAAUGAAUUCUAUAUUUACAAACAAACAAAAAAAAAACUUUGUGCUAUUGAUCCUCAAUAUAUUACAUAAAUAAUCAAGAUUUAUAUUAAUAAAAUUCAUUAAUUAUAUAAAAUUAUUAUGCAAUGUAACUUAUCUCAAAUUUACAACUAAAGUAAACAAUUUAUUCAUAUUAAAUAUAUUAAAUUCUACAAAAGAAAUAAAUUACCACUAAAUAAAAGUAUAUUAUUUUUUCUAGAAUCUAUUAUUUUUUAUAAGAAUAUCUAUUUAAUAUCAAUAACAUUUAUUGUAUUAAAAUUAAAAUUUGAAUAUUAAAUAUUUAUUCACUUUUUGAGUUACUCAACUGUAUUUAAAGUAUAUAAUAAAAAUCUGUAAUUUAAGUCUUUGACUAGAAAUAGACUAUCUAAAAUAUAUUUAUAAAUUAUUUGGGAAUCACGUGUAACUAAUUCUUAAAUUGAAAGUGGGACAUCCAAAUUUGUUUAGAGUAACUUUGUUAGAAUAUAAAGUUUGACAUGAAUAUUAUUUUAGAAUAACGAAAUAUGAAGUUAAGAUAUAAAUAUAAUAUUUUGAUAUUUUAUAAAAAAUAAAAUUAUAUUUUAUUAUAUUUUAUUUAUAUCAAAUUUUAUAUCAAAUUUUUAUGUUCUAAUAAUAUUAAUAAUAGUAUAUAUUAUUAAAUUAAUUAUUGUAAUACAUGUUAAUUUUUUGUGGAUAUAAUAAAAAUAUAAUGUUAAACUUGUAUGAUAUUAAAAUGAAAAAAGUUAUUUUUUCAUUUCAAGAGAUACAUAUAAUAAGAUGUAUAUAAAAUUCAAGUGAUAAAUUAUAUAUUAUUUUAAUUCUUAAAAUUUAUAUGAAUUUAUUAUUUUAAUAUUUAUAUAUAUUUUUAUCAUACAUUUCAUUUAAUGUGAUAUUAAUUGAAAAUUAUAUGCAUGAUUAAAAAUAAUAAGUAUAAUAAUAAAUAUAAAAUAUAUUAAUAAAAUAAUAUAUAAAGUAUUCAAAUAUUAAACUAAAUUUAUUAUCACGUAAUUAUGUCUCUUUAUUAUUUUUUUAAUUUACACUACAACUUUAUUUAUAAAUCUUAACAUAAGCUCCUAUAAAUUAACAUAACUCAUAGACUAAAAUAAUAUCAAUAACAUUUCCCCAGCUCUUUGUAGAUUAUAUUUUCUUGUAUAGGGAAAUGGCCAAAGUCCUCGUAUCAAUGUUACUCCUACUCCAAGUGAGUUGUUUCAUUGUAUUUGCUAAGGACCACCACCAUCACUCAUCGAUCCCAAGUCCUAUACACCCACCUUCUCCGGCUCCUAUCCAACCUCAUCUUCAUGAUGUCUAUUUUCAUAAACAUGUUUCUGUACACCCUCAUUUAUCCUUUGGUUACGAAGUAGAUACAGAUCAUAAACAUCAUUCCCACCAUCACCAUCAUUCAUCAACCUCAAGCCCUGUUCACCCACCUUCUUGGACCCCUGUCGAUCCUCCUGUUCAUGAUGUCUAUUUUCACAAACAUGUUCCUGUACACCAUCAUUUAUCCUCUGGUUACGAAGUAGAUACAGAUCAUAAACAUCAUUCCCACCAUCACCAUCAUUCAUCAACCUCAAGCCCUGUUCACCCACCUUCUUGGACCCCUGUCGAUCCUCCUGUUCAUGAUGUCUAUUUUCAGAAACAUGUUCCUGUGCACCCUUAUUUAUCCUCUGGUCACGAAGUAGAUACAGAUCAUAAACAUCAUUCCCAUCAUCAUCAUCAUUCAUCAACCUUAAGCCAUGUUCACUCGCCUUCUCCGGCCCCUAUCCAACCUCAUCUUCAUGAUGUCUAUUUUCACAAACAUGUUUCUGUACACCCUCAUUUAUCCUCUAGUUACAAAGUAGAUACAGAUCAUAAACACCACUCCCAACAUCACCAUCACUCAUCAACAUCAAGCCCUGUUCACCCACCUUCUUCGACCCAUGUCCAUCCUCCUUUGUCCCCCAGUUACGGAAUAGAUAUAGAUCAUAAGCACAAGAUCCAUCAUCAUCAUCACUCAUCAACUCCAGCUCCUAUUCAUCCCCCUUCUUCGGUCCCUAGCCAUCCUCCACUUUUGAAUCGUCUUAAUUACAAACUUAACCAUGCAUCAUUCACAUCCAAUCACUAGAAGCUUUGUAGUUUUUCCCAAUAAUGAGUGACAUUAUAUGAUGUAAUAGAAUAUAAAUAAAAUUAUGUUUAUUACUUUUGUUUGAUUUGAUGUAUCUAGUUGUCUUUGUUGUUUUCAAUCUCGAAUCAACGAAAUUUAAACUUCAAACAAACAAA
rnacentral:lncRNA from 1 species